CUCUCAAUAAUUUCUCGACAGUAAAAAAAACACUCUCUUUGGCGUAGCUCAUCCUCUCCGCUUCAAUCAAGUUAGUGGUCAUGGAUGGCCUCUGACGCUCCUCCUCUGGAUUUCCUCUUCUCCUUAGGAGCUUCUUCAUGGCUCCAUCCUCCUCCGCCAAUCCUCCACCUUUUUCGAUUUUGAAAGCCCACGACUCCUUCCUCCUCCUCCUCGACAUCGCAAGUUGAGGGCCUCAACAAGAUUCCUAUUCCAUUGACCGUUUCUGCGAUCCACUCAAGUAAUAGAAUGAGAUUGGGAUGAGUUCAAAGAAGUUCAACAAAGGAGCCACAUAACCACUGUGGUUGAUAACUUGAAGACUCGUUUGAUGAGUGCAACAAAGGAGCUCAAAGAAGUCCUAACCAUGCGGACAGAGGUCGGGACUUCUAGACAAGGUGGAGCUGGUGAUGAGAAUGUUGAUGAUGAUGAUCAGGAGGACUGAUUUGUUUUUUUUUACCUUUGAAAACAAUGAAUGAGUGUUGUAUAAACAAUAUUUAUCAUGGUGUGUGAUGUAUAAACAACGUUUAUCAUGUUGGGAUAUUUUAAUUAAAUUAUAUAUGUUAUAUAUGCGUGAGAA